GACGAACCGUACAAACGUUAUUCGGAAUCACUGGGCUUAAAGGGUGCGUAGGCGGCCUGGCAAGUUGGGUGUGAAAGCCCUCGGCUCAACCGAGGAACUGCGCCCAAAACUGCUGGGCUUGAGGAAGACAGAGAUAAGCGGAACUAAGGGUGGAGCGGUGAAAUGCGUUGAUAUCCUUAGGAACACCAGGAGCGAAAGCGGCUUACUGGGUCUUUUCUGACGCUGAGGCACGAAAGCUAGGGGAGCGAACGGGAUUAGAUACCCCGGUAGUCCUAGCCGUAAACGAUGAGCACUGGUUUGGAGGGCCCUCCAUAGCCUUCUGGACGUAGCGAAAGUGUUAAGUGCUCCGCCUGGGGAGUAUGGUCGCAAGGCUGAA
rnacentral:rRNA from 1 species